GUACGGCGAGUGAGCGGCAAAAGCUCAAAUUUGAAAUCUGGUACCUUCGGUGCCCGAGUUGUAAUUUGGAGAGGGCAACUUUGGGGCCGUUCCUUGUCUAUGUUCCUUGGAACAGGACGUCAUAGAGGGUGAGAAUCCCGUGUGGCGAGGAGUGCGGUUCUUUGUAAAGUGCCUUCGAAGAGUCGAGUUGUUUGGGAAUGCAGCUCUAAGUGGGUGGUAAAUUCCAUCUAAAGCUAAAUAUUGGCGAGAGACCGAUAGCGAACAAGUACAGUGAUGGAAAGAUGAAAAGAACUUUGAAAAGAGAGUGAAAAAGUACGUGAAAUUGUUGAAAGGGAAGGGCAUUUGAUCAGACAUGGUGUUUUGUGCCCUCUGCUCCUUGUGGGUAGGGGAAUCUCGCAUUUCACUGGGCCAGCAUCAGUUUUGGUGGCAGGAUAAAUCCAUAGGAAUGUAGCUUGCCUCGGUAAGUAUUAUAGCCUGUGGGAAUACUGCCAGCUGGGACUGAGGACUGCGACGUAAGUCAAGGAUGCUGGCAUAAUGGUUAUAUGCCGCCCGUC
rnacentral:rRNA from 1 species